GCCCUUGCUCAGUAACACGUGGACAACGUACCCUAAAGUGGAGCAUAAUCUCGGGAAACUGAGGAUAAUUCUCCAUAGACCAUGAGAUCUGGAAUGACUUAUGGUUCAAAGUUCCGGCGCUUUAGGAUCGGUCUGCGGCCUAUCAGGUAGUAGUGGGUGUAACGUACCCCCUAGCCAAUUACGGGUAUGGGCCUUGAGAGAGGGAGCCCAGAGUUGGAUUCUGAGACACGAAUCCAGGCCCUACGGGGCGCAGCAGUCGCGAAAACUUCACAAUGGGCGAAAGCCCGAUGAGGGAAUUCCUAGUGCUAGCACAUUUGUGCUAGCUUUUCCUUAGCGUAGAUAACUAGGGGAAUAAGGGCUGGGUAAGACGGGUGCCAGCCGCCGCGGUAAUACCCGCAGCCCGAGUGGUGGUCGAUUUUAUUGAGUCUAAAACGUUCGUAGCCGGUCUGAUAAAUCCCUGGGUAAAUCGGGUGGCUUAACCAUCCGAAUUCCGGGGAGACUGUCAGGCUUGGGAUCGGGAGAGGUAUGAGGUACUUCAGGGGUAGGGGUAAAAUCCUGUAAUCCUUGGAGGACCACCGGUGGCGAAGGCGUCAUACUAGAACGAAUCCGACGGUGAGGGACGAAGCCCUAGGUCGCAAACGGGAUUAGAUACCCCGGUAGUCUAGGGUGUAAACGCUGCAGACUAGGUGUUGGAGGCCCUACGGGGGCACCCAGUGCCCGAGAGAAGUUGUUAAGUCUGCUACUUGGGGAGUACGUCCGCAAGGAUGAAACUUAAAGGAAUUGGCGGGGGAGCACAAGGGC
rnacentral:rRNA from 1 species